rnacentral:lncRNA from 10 species
UCCUUCUGUUCUUGGGCAUCAGUGGACACCCAACACAGCCUCAUUCAAGGAGAACUGGUCACUUUCAACUCCUUUCUUCAGCAGAGGAUCCUUCCUUCCUUCCCUCCCCACUGGGUCAUGUGAGGACAGAAGGAUUGUGCUAUAUCAGUUUUGGGGGAUUCCACAUUCUCAUUUAGAGGAAAAAGAACCUGCUUCCAGUUUUACCCCUGGAACUAGAAAAUUAAUCUUUGAUCAGACCAAUCCCAUUUAAGAAAUUUGUUUUGUUUGGCUGGCAAGUAUUUGAAAUUUUAAAUAAUUAUUUGCCACACUUCUAAAUUGGGAAGUUUUACAAAAAUAUCUGGAUAUAUGACUUCUCUUAAACCAUCAGAAGUUCCAGCAACAGUUCUAAGUAUAUUCCACAUAGAAAAGACUGAUUGGAGCUGAACAGUUGUUGUGCCCUUUCAAAGGGUCAUAUGCUCUGUGUUUACUCAUAGUCUCCACACAGCCCUCUCCGCUCACUCAUCCAGCCACUUUCAGCAUUUGAGUUUACAACCCCCAGUCUAGAUCAGUGUUUUUCAAACUAUAGGUCAUCCCAUUGUGGGAGUCAUUAAAUCAGUGUCUUGGAUAACCAGUAUGAUAUGGUUUGGCUCUCUGUCCCCACCCAAAUCUCAUCUUAUAGUUCCCAUAAUUCCCACGUGUUGUGAGAGGGACCCAGUGGGAAAUGGCUGAAUCAUGGGGGUGGGUCUUUCCCAUGCUGUUCUAGUGAUAGUGAAUGGGUCUCAUGAGAUCUGAUGAUUUUAAAAAUGGGAGUUUCCCUGCGCAAGCCCUCUUUUUGCCUGC